AGCAGUAGCCGCGGUAAUACGUAGGGUGCAAGCGUUAAUCGGAAUUACUGGGCGUAAAGCGUGCGCAGGCGGUUAUAUAAGACAGAUGUGAAAUCCCCGGGCUCAACCUGGGAACUGCAUUUGUGACUGUAUAGCUAGAGUACGGCAGAGGGGGAUGGAAUUCCGCGUGUAGCAGUGAAAUGCGUAGAUAUGCGGAGGAACACCGAUGGCGAAGGCAAUCCCCUGGGCCUGUACUGACGCUCAUGCACGAAAGCGUGGGGAGCAAACAGGAUUAGAUACCCGCGUAGUCCCUGUCUCUUAUAA
rnacentral:rRNA from 1 species